GAUGAACGCUGGCGGCGUGCUUAACACAUGCAAGUCGAACGGUGAAGGAGAGCUUGCUCUCCGGAUCAGUGGCGAACGGGUGAGUAACACGUGAGCAAUCUGCCCCUGACUCUGGGAUAAGCGCUGGAAACGGCGUCUAAUACCGGAUACGAGCGGCGAAGGCAUCUUCAGCAGCUGGAAAGAAGUUCGGUCAGGGAUGAGCUCGCGGCCUAUCAGCUAGUUGGUGAGGUAAUGGCUCACCAAGGCGUCGACGGGUAGCCGGCCUGAGAGGGUGACCGGCCACACUGGGACUGAGACACGGCCCAGACUCCUACGGGAGGCAGCAGUGGGGAAUAUUGCACAAUGGGCGCAAGCCUGAUGCAGCAACGCCGCGUGAGGGACGGCGGCCUUCGAGUUGUAAACCUCUUUUAGCAGGGAAGAAGCGAAAGUGACGGUACCUGCAGAAAAAGCACCGGCUAACUACGUGCCAGCCGCCGCAGUAA
rnacentral:rRNA from 1 species